CGCAUCGCUCGGGCUGCCCCGAUUCAUUCGAACUUGCGCCUCCCCAGCCACAGCUGCUGUGGCGACCCAACCCCAGCCCGACUCCACCUCCCCCCGCCGCCUCCCCCCGCGGCUUCGUCGUCAAGAGCAGGGUUCCGGCGGCCGCGUCUCCCUCUGCUCCCCCCUCCCCCACACUCGGUUUACGAGUCGGCGCGCUACCGGAGGUCCUCGCCCCCAAGACUCGUACGCCCGUCGUCCCGGCGGCGAUCCGGCCGGCACCAGAACCCUAGGGAUCCGACGAAGCAGUGGAAGGUUAGCAAGUUUGAUGAUGCUGAUUGGAGCCUAGUUCUCUCAAGUCUGAAGAGCAGAAGAGCAAAAGCAACAUAAUUUGAGUUAUCUAUCCUACCUUCUCUUUCCUUGCAGUUUCAACAGUUCAGAAGAGCAACAUGGGGGUCCUUUGUUUAUCGAUUCCAGCAACAGUUUCAGCUUCAGUUCUUGUGCAAAAGCAGGUGGGCAGCACAUAAGCUGCUUGGCUCUUAUCUCAGAUAUGCACACAUCAGACCAUGUUGAUUUACACUGGACCCACAUAAUUGGCCUAGGAGCAGUUGGCCUACAUUGAGCUAAGAGGAAAGGAGGUGGCUAGGAGGUAUAUGCAUGGCCAUUUAUUCUAUAAAGCAACCGUUACUUCAUAGAUCUGGUGGAUACUCUAUGUAAUCACUUACAGUUUAACAUUGUCAUGUAUUAUGAUCACAAGAGCUUGUAUUGUGAAGUGUGAAAUAUUUGUGUACUGCUAUGAAAUAUACCAUAUUGGGAAAUAUGAGAUUCAGAAAUGUACACGGUGCAUCUAGAUUUUUUU